rnacentral:rRNA from 1 species
AGAGUUUGAUCCUGGCUCAGAUUGAACGCUGGCGGCAUGCCUUACAUAUGCAAGUCGAACGGCAGCGCGGGGCAACCUGGCGGCGAGUGGCGAACGGGUGAGUAAUAUAUCGGAACGUACCCUGGAGUGGGGGAUAACGUAGCGAAAGUUACGCUAAUACCGCAUACGAUCUAAGGAUGAAAGUGGGGGAUCGCAAGACCUCAUGCUCCUGGAGCGGCCGAUAUCUGAUUAGCUAGUUGGCGGGGUAAAAGCCCACCAAGGCAACGAUCAGUAGCUGGUCUGAGAGGACGACCAGCCACACUGGAACUGAGACACGGUCCAGACUCCUACGGGAGGCAGCAGUGGGGAAUUUUGGACAAUGGGCGCAAGCCUGAUCCAGCAAUGCCGCGUGAGUGAAGAAGGCCUUCGGG